rfam:Echinostoma caproni strain Egypt genome assembly, scaffold: ECPE_scaffold0000175
GGCCUCGUAGCUCAGCUGGUAGAGCAUGCGGUACAAAGCGUAGGCGGUGUCCAUGCGUGGGUUCGAAUCCCACCGAGGCUA